rnacentral:lncRNA from 1 species
CUCUAGGGUUGGUUUGAACAAAGAAGUGCUUUGAGAGUUCAGAUGUGGAGCCAGGAACCCUGCCUGCCAUGGGAUGCAGGGAGAGGGCGUGGCGAGCAGAGCCCACAGCGACCCCAAGAAGCUGCUCCAACCCCUGGGACUAUGGAGCUCUACAGCUGUAGAGACCACCAGGAAGUGGACUGCAGGCCCCUGGCCUCUCCAUUCAGAUUCUGCAAAGAGAUCCUGAUGGGUUGGGCCAAUGGGUCAGGCAUCCAGUCAGCUCUGGCUAAGGGGUGAAGGAGUC